GACGAACGCUGGCGGCGUGCUUAACACAUGCAAGUCGAGCGGUAAGGCCCUUCGGGGUACACGAGCGGCGAACGGGUGAGUAACACGUGGGUGAUCUGCCCUGCACUUCGGGAUAAGCCUGGGAAACUGGGUCUAAUACCGGAUAUGACCAAAGGCUGCAUGGUUUUUGGUGGAAAGGUUUACUGGUGCAGGAUGGGCCCGCGGCCUAUCAGCUUGUUGGUGGGGUAAUGGCCUACCAAGGCGACGACGGGUAGCCGACCUGAGAGGGUGACCGGCCACACUGGGACUGAGACACGGCCCAGACGCCUACGGGAGGCAGCAGUGGGGAAUAUUGCACAAUGGGCGAAAGCCUGAUGCAGCGACGCCGCGUGAGGGAUGACGGCCUUCGGGUUGUAAACCUCUUUCAGCAGGGACGAAGCGAAAGUGACGGUACCUGCAGAAGAAGCACCGGCCAACUACGUGCCAGCCGCCGCAGUAA
rnacentral:rRNA from 1 species